rnacentral:rRNA from 1 species
CGGGACGGGGUGGAGUAAUGUCUGGGAAACUGCCUGAUGGAGGGGGGUAACUACUGGAAACGGUAGCUAAUACCGCAUAACGUCGCAAGACCAAAGAGGGGGACCUUCGGGCCUCUUGCCAUCGGAUGUGCCCAGAUGGGAUUAGCUAGUAGGUGGGGUAACGGCUCACCUAGGCGACGAUCCCUAGCUGGUCUGAGAGGAUGCCAGCCACACUGGAACUGAGACACGGUCCAG